rnacentral:rRNA from 1 species
AUGCAUGCUUUCAUUGGUUGUUUGUUCCCUGGCUUUCUUUGGUUGUUUGUCGCUCGAAGAGCUCUUCGCCGCGCUGCGCCUGCCCCACGCCCUCGCUGGUGUCACGCUCCUCUCGCUCGACAACGGCGCGCUGGUCGGCGCGCUCUUCGUGACCACCGUCGUCGCGCUCGCUGCCGUCGUGGAGAUGCGCGGGUUCGUGCGCGACCUCUGCUUCCUCUUCUUCGCGCUCUGCAACUUGUGCGCAUGCUCGUGAGCGGCACGGUCAACGUCUGGGUGACCGCGUCCUUCGUGUCCAUCUACGUGGCCUACGUCAUCCUCGUCUGGACCUCCCAGUGCUGCGCCGAACCGGGGAAACCGCCACACCCCGACCUCGCGGCAUCGCUCCUCCUAGAGGACGACGACGACGACGUACCUCCCCUACCGUCCUACUCCUCCAAGAUCACGCAGGCUCCACGACAGCAGCCUGCCUGCAUUACCUCGUGUGCGAGCUCCGUAUGCCGUUGUACCUCCUGCGCCGCCUCACCCUCUCGGACAUCGCCGCGUACGCUGGUCUCGGCCCUGCGCCGUGGCCUUCGCCGCGUUGGCGCUCGUGCUCCUCGCCACGACAUGGACCUCGCACAACCCGGCGAAAUCAUCCUCGCGCCACGCCGCCACCACAACAGCGACGACCACGCGAUCCUCCUCGCCGGCGGCGUCCUUGGCCUCCUCUCGCGGCCCUCGUCGCGGCCACAACGGACGCCGCGUCCCCUCCCCACGGGCGCCCGCGUGGCGUGGCUGGCGGUGGGGUUCCUGAUGAGCAUACUCUGGGGCUCUGGGCAUACACCCUGGUGUGAACUGGUGGCGCGAACUGGUGGUCAUCGGGUACCGUACAUGGUGAGCGCGAACGCGAGCAUGCUGGGCGUGACGGUGCUGGCAUGCGGAGGCUCGUUGGGCGACCUAGUCUCCAACAUGGCGAUGGCGACGCACAGGGGCCCCGACCAUGCGCAGAUGGCCGUGUCAUCCUGCUGCGCCGGGCCGCUGUUCAACACGGUGGUGGGGCUGAGGCUUUCGCUGACGCUGGCGGCGGGCGCGCGGUACCUGGCGCCGUUCACGCUCCUGGCAGACGCAGCGGUGUACGAGACGGUGGGGUUCCUGUGCACCGGGCUGGCGUUGGUGCUGGUGGUGGUGCCGGCGAGGGGCAUGCGGCUCGACCGGGUGGACGGGGUGGGCCUCAUCGUCAUCUACCUCGCCUUCUUCGGCGUCCGCGUUAGCCUGUAG